rnacentral:tRNA from 1 species
AAGCCCUAUGACGAGUUCGACUACGGCUAUGUGCUCACGGUGCACAAGAGCCAGGGCUCGCAAUGGGAUGACGUCGUGCUGUUCGACGAGAGCUUC